GCAGGGAUGGCGAAAUCGGUAAACGCACUUGGUUUAGAACCAAGGUUUUGAGGGCCUGCCUGCCGCAGGCAGGUUCAAAUCCCUCUCCCUGUACAA
rnacentral:tRNA from 1 species